AAAAAUACCUUUAAGAUAUAAUAUUUGAAAUGUUACAUUACCAAAAUGAAAAUUUAAGUGCACAUCGCUUAACAAGUUAUGUCAAAUUAGGUAGCAGGAAAAAAUUGUAAUGCAGUUAUAUAGGAACAUCUGAACAAAAUGAAAAUGGAAAUUGUAAUGAUCACGAUAUCUGUGGAGUAUUAACAAGUGUUCUACCAAUUAUAUGGGUCAGUAUCUAAAAAAAAUUGAACCAUUCCAAGUUUUCCAGUUCACCCAAAAACACUCAUUGAGG
rnacentral:misc_RNA from 1 species